rnacentral:rRNA from 1 species
GACGAACGCUGGCGGCGUGCUUAACACAUGCAAGUCGAACGGAAAGGCCCUGAUUGCAGGGUACUCGAGUGGCGAACGGGUGAGUAACACGUGGGUGAUCUGCCCUGCACUUCGGGAUAAGCCUGGGAAACUGGGUCUAAUACCGGAUAGGAGCCAUUUUUAGUGUGAUGGUUGGAAAGUUUUUUCGGUGUAGGAUGAGCUCGCGGCCUAUCAGCUUGUUGGUGGGGUAAUGGCCUACCAAGGCGGCGACGGGUAGCCGGCCUGAGAGGGUGGACGGCCACAUUGGGACUGAGAUACGGCCCAGACUCCUACGGGAGGCAGCAGUGGGGAAGAUUGCACGAUGGGCGCAAGCCUGAUGCAGCGACGCCGCGUGGGGGAUGACGGCCUUCGGGUUGUAAACUCCUUUCGCUAGGGACGAAGCUUUUUGUGACGGUACCUAGAUAAGAAGCACCGGCUAACUACGUG